rnacentral:rRNA from 1 species
AUGCAGUCGACGAAGGCUUCGGCCUUAGUGGCGCACGGGUGCGUAACGCGUGGGAAUCUACCCUUAGGUUCGGAAUAACAGUUGGAAACGACUGCUAAUACCGGAUGAUGACGUAAGUCCAAAGAUUUAUCGCCUAGGGAUGAGCCCGCGUAGGAUUAGCUAGUUGGUGUGGUAAAGGCGCACCAAGGCGACGAUCCUUAGCUGGUCUGAGAGGAUGAUCAGCCACACUGGGACUGAGACACGGUCCAGACUCCUACGGGAGGCAGCAGUGGGGAAUAUUGGACAAUGGGCGAAAGCCUGAUCCAGCAAUGCCGCGUGAGUGAUGAAGGCCUUAGGGUUGUAAAGCUCUUUUACCCGGGAUGAUAAUGACAGUACCGGGAGAAUAAGCUCCGGCUAACUC